CAAGACUUCGAACGAGUUACCA
rnacentral:siRNA from 1 species